UACAGAGGGUGCAAGCGUUGUUCGGAAUUAUUGGGCGUAAAGGGCGCGUAGGCGGUGCGGUAAGUCUGCGGUGAAAUCUCCCGGCUCAACUGGGAGUCUGCCGUGGAAACUGCCGUGCUUGAGUGUGGGAGAGGUGAGUGGAAUUCCCGGUGUAGCGGUGAAAUGCGUAGAUAUCGGGAGGAACAUCUGUGGCGAAAGCGGCUCACUGGACCACAACUGACGCUGAGGCGCGAAAGCUAGGGGAGCAAACAGG
rnacentral:rRNA from 1 species